GAUGAAGAACGUAGCGAAAUGCGAUAAGUAAUGUGAAUUGCAGAAUUCAGUGAAUCAUCGAAUCUUUGAACGCACAUUGCGCUCCCUGGUAUUCCGGGGGGCAUGCCUGUUCGAGCGUCAUUAUAACCACUCAAGCUCUCGCUUGGUAUUGGGGUUCGCGGUUCCGCGGCCCCUAAAAUCAGUGGCGGUGCCUGUCGGCUCUACGCGUAGUAAUACUCCUCGCGAUUGAGUCCGGUAGGUCUACUUGCCAGCAACCCCCAAUUUUUACAGGUUGACCUCGGAUCAGGUAGGGAUACCCGCUGAACUUAAGCAUAUCAAUAAGCGGAGGA
rnacentral:misc_RNA from 1 species